rnacentral:rRNA from 1 species
UACGUAGGGUGCAAGCGUUAAUCGGAAUUACUGGGCGUAAAGCGUGCGCAGGCGGUUUUGUAAGUCUGUCGUGAAAGCCCCGGGCUCAACCUGGGAAUUGCGAUGGAGACUGCAAGGCUUGAAUCUGGCAGAGGGGGGUAGAAUUCCACGUGUAGCAGUGAAAUGCGUAGAGAUGUGGAGGAACACCGAUGGCGAAGGCAGCCCCCUGGGUCAAGAUUGACGCUCAUGCACGAUAGCGUGGGGAGCAAACAGG